rnacentral:rRNA from 1 species
UACGUAGGCAGCAAGCGUUGUUCGGAGUUACUGGGCGUAAAGAGUGCGUAGGCGGUGCUCUAAGUUUGGUGUGAAAUCUCCCGGCUUAACUGGGAGGGUGCGCCGAAAACUGGAGUGCUUGAGUAUGGGAGAGGCAAGCGGAAUUCCUGGUGUAGCGGUGAAAUACGUAGAUAUCAGGAGGAACACCUGUGGUGUAGACAGCUUGCUGGACCAUCACUGACGCUGAGGCACGAAAGCGUGGGUAGCAAACAGG